AUUGAACGCUGGCGGCAGGCCUAACACAUGCAAGUCGAACGAGACCUUCGGGUCUAGUGGCGCACGGGUGCGUAACGCGUGGGAAUCUGCCCUUGGGUUCGGAAUAACUCAGAGAAAUUUGAGCUAAUACCGGAUGAUGACGAAAGUCCAAAGAUUUAUCGCCCAAGGAUGAGCCCGCGUAAGAUUAGCUUGUUGGUGGGGUAAUGGCCUACCAAGGCGACGAUCUUUAGCUGGUCUGAGAGGAUGAUCAGCCACACUGGGACUGAGACACGGCCCUGACUCCUACGGGAGGCAGCAGUGGGGAAUAUUGGACAAUGGGCGAAAGCCUGAUCCAGCAAUGCCGCGUGAGUGAUGAAGGCCUUAGGGUUGUAAAGCUCUUUUACCAGGGAUGAUAAUGACAGUACCUGGAGAAUAAGCUCCGGCUAACUCCGUGCCAGCCGCCGCGGUAACAC
rnacentral:rRNA from 1 species